rnacentral:rRNA from 1 species
UACAGAGGUCCCAAGCGUUGUUCGGAUUCACUGGGCGUAAAGGGUGCGUAGGCGGUGAGGUAAGUCGGAUGUGAAAUCUCCAAGCUCAACUUGGAAACUGCAUUGGAAACUGCCUUGCUAGAGGAUUUGAGGGGGGAUUGGAAUACUUGGUGUAGCAGUGAAAUGCGUAGAUAUCAAGUGGAACACCAGUGGCGAAGGCGAAUCCCUGGAAAAUACCUGACACUGAGGCACGAAAGCUAGGGGAGCAAACAGG